UUGGCUUCCAGGCAGCUAAGGAGAAGAAAUGGCGAGUUUGAGGUUUUCCGUGUCUCAUUUUGGUGAUCACCUCCACUUUGGAGUUCCGAAUCUCGAGUCGUAAUCCAAAAGGAGCUAACCGACGGGCUCGUGGGGGCCGAGGCAGGGAAGACGAUGGAUGGUGUUCGCGACAGGGACGAUGCGAGGAAUUAAGACAGCACAAGGCGUGUAGGAGUCGAAGCGGCCAAGCCCCUGAGAAACAGACCCUUCUCUAACAUCACUCCAGGGAUAUCGGCUGAAGCUUUGCGUUCAAUGGUAGCUGAAGAAUAGUGCAUGUUCGAGAUCUUUAUGGCAACCCUUGUACCAACCAACCAGUUUUUUUUUUUCCCUUUUUCUUUUCUUUUCUUUUCUUUUUN
rnacentral:lncRNA from 1 species